rnacentral:lncRNA from 1 species
UUUUUUUUUUUUUUGUGAAAAACUUAACCCAGAGUUAAUUUGUCAUCUCAAUUUUAUUCUUAUUAAUACUCAUGGUUUGUAUUCCCCUGAUCUUUCUUCACAAAUUUCCCAGCCUAUUAAUUGAAAUAAUUACAGCUGUUCAUUUGUUUUGUUCCCUGUUCACGGACUUCCUAGAUUUGCUAGUAUUCUACCUUAUUGCUGUCUUUAGAACUUUCUAGUAUAAAUCAACACUUUUCCUCUAGGUUUAGCCUCAGUGCUUCCUGGUAAUCUUAUUUUGUUUUUAUCUUCUUUUUCAUUCUACAUAUUAGUUAAUUGGAACCUUUCGGUUUCAAUUCCAAAAUAUUUCUAUUUUUCUCAUUCUUUUUCAUUUCAUAUUUUAUAUUUUCUUUUCCUCAAUGUGUCUUUACUCAAAGAACAUGAUUUUUUUUUAAAAGAACAUGAUAUUUUUAUUUAUUUCAAAGGCUAACAUCUAUAUUCUUAAUCUUUAUUCCUUCUUCCUUUUACUUGAGCCUUGGUGUUUUCUGUUAUUCUCUUUAUGCUCCAUGCUGGGUUUUCUGUCUUAUCACACUUAACUUUUACUCUUUCACUGUCCUUCCCAUUAUCACUGAGCCUGUUUGAUUUAUAUUGAUUCUAGGUGUCCAGUUUAUCAAUUCUUAUUCAACUGCCUUCUGCAGUUUGACUAUUGUUUCUACUUGCAUUCUGUCCUCAAGUGAAAGUAAACUUCCUUUCUUAUCUAACCAGGUAGAUAGACAUUAGUUAGGCUUUAUAUUAUCCCCAAGGUAAGACUGAGUUCCAGUUGCUAAAUCUGUAGGUUUUCAUUUCUCCUCCUGUCAUGCCCAUUUUCAGCAUUUGGUAUUUUGCUUCUUCUUAACAUUCACUUCUCCCUUGUCUUCUGAAUACUGUACUUUAUGAUUUUUCUGUGAUGUCUUUGACUGCAUUUUUGUUGUUGUUGUUGUUAUUCCUUUUUUCUUUUACAUACCUCUUAGGUAUAAACUGAGUUGGGGCUUUGCUCCUUAUUCCUCUUCAUUACAUAUCCUUUCUAGAUCUCUGUUUUUAUUAUAUAAAUAAUCACAGAUUUGGGAAGACUCAUAAAUGCCACAUAUUCCUUCAUUACCUAUUUUACCUCAGUUAUUAUCUCCUCAGCACCCCAAAAUUAUUAUUUCUUAAGCUGAAAAAUUUGCCUUGAAAAUGGUUGCUAUAUGGUUGAAACUUAGUAAAUGCUUUUUGAAUUAGUGAAAGAACUCAUUAUCCUAGUGCCCCAAUCUGUUGUUUGUUCUCUUUUUUACAUAAUGAUUUUAACCAUUCACCUCUUCUCAUGUCACAAACUGUGUAACAUAUUUGACCAGUUUUUGUCUAUGCGUGUUAACAUUAAUUAUUAUAUUUUAGUCUUAAGUGUAACUAAUGGGGCAGAUGAUAUUCUUCUUUGCAGAUGGUAGAAGUAGAAAUUACAGAUUGUGAUUUGCUUAUAGUUUCACAGAUAGUGAUGGAGUUGAAAAUUAAAAUUAGGUUUCUGAUUACACGUUUCCUGGUUUUCACACAAAACAUUGUUUCUUUUUUAAAGUUUUAUUUAAAUUUAAUUUGCCAACAUACAGUAUAACACCCAGUGCUCAUCCCAUCAUGUGCCCUAUCAACCAGUUACCCCAUCCCCUGACCCACCUCCCCUUCUGCAACUCUUUGUUUCCCAGAGUUAAGAGUCUCUCAUGGUUUGUCUUUCUCUUUAAAACAUUGUUUCUAAUGAUAAAAGCAGUAUGAUUGACAAGAAAUUACUAUUAGUGUACUAUGUGAGUUAAGGGAGAAAAGACUGGAAGAAGGUGGGAGUACUUUAAAUUCUUAUGUGAUGAGAUGAAAGUCCUAAUUUGGAGAGAGGAAAGAAAAAGAUAUGAGAAGUUUUUCACUCAACACUAAUAGAAUUUUGAGAUUCUGACAUCUGAUAAUGAUGCAGUAAUGCCUGUGAAUUAGUUGAGUGAAUCUUCCUUCAGAUAACUAUGAUAAAAUCUGGAUAAAAUAUUGUAAGAAAAAUUUCAACUGUUUGAAAGCAGCAGAAAAUGAGCAAAAUGAGGCAGAAGCAAGAUAAGAGAUUAUUCUUUAAAGCCUCCAACUGCAGUGUGUAAGAACUGUAUGUUUGUAGCUUUCUUGGCUUUGGUUGCAUACCAACCUCCUGUAGUUCUGGUGGCAUAGGACAGAAAUUAAGGCUAGCCAAGCUAUCUACUGGGAGUCUAGAAGCAAGAGAACCAUUGAAGAGGUAAACAAAAACUGAUGGAAUUUUUCACUAGUCCACUGGCAUUGCAAGCAAUUCUAAAGGAAGCUCAUUAGUCUGAAGGGAAAAGGCACCAGAUUACAAAAGCCAUUCAUCUACUAAGGAAUCACAUAAAAAAAAGUGAAUAUAUGAGUAAUUAUAAAAACUAUACACACUUUUAUUAAUUAAAAAACUACCUAUGAUUAAGGCAAAAUGUAAGUUUAAAAUGUAUAUGAAAAUAAUAGCACAAAAUUGGGGUAUUUCUGGCUUAAUUUGUAUUUUUCUGAUGUUAGUAUUGAGCAUCUUUUUGUGUGUUGUUGGCAAUUUGAGUAUCUUUUUUUUUUUUUUUUAAAGAUUUUAUUUUUAUUUAUUCAUAGAGACAGACAGAGAGAGAGAGAGAGGGGCCGAGGGAGAAGCAGGCAUCAUACAGAGAGCCUGACGUGGGACUCCAUCCAGGGUCUCCAGGGUCUCCAGGAUCACGCCCUGGGCUGCAGGUGGCGCUAAACCGCUGUGCCACGGGGGCUGCCCUGAGUAUCUUCUUUAGUGAAGUAUCUGAUCUCAAGAUUUUGAGAAUUGACCUAUUAUACAUUAUUUAGUAUAACAUCAUAAUAAGGAAUUAUGACAAAUUGACAUAUUAAUAUUUAAUAUUUGGACUUAUGAACAUGGUGUAUCUUUUAUUUAGGUUAUCUUAUAAUUUCUCUCGGUAAUAUAUGGUAGUUUUCUUUUUUCCUUAAGGUGAUAAGAAAUACUGAACUCUCUAUACUUAUUAAGCAAUAAGUCCUCAUUUCCCCUUCUCCCAGGCUCUGGUAAUAUCUAUUUUGCUUUCUGCCUAUUCUAGACAUUUCAUAUAUGUGGAAUCAUCUAAUAUUUGUCUUUUUCACUUGGCAUGUUUUCAGAGUUCAUCUGUGUCAUAGCAUACAUCAGAAUUUCAUUUCUUUUUAUGGCUGGAUAGUAUUCCACAUUUUGUUUAUUCAUUCAUCUGCUUGUGGUUACUUGGGUUGUAUCCCCCCUUUGGCUAUUGUGAAUAACACUAGUGAACAUUGAUUGACUGAUUGAUUGAUUGAUUGAUGUAUCUGAGUCCUCUUCUCUGUUCUCAGUAUAUAGCUAGAAUGGAAUUGCUGGGUCAUGUGGUAGAUUCUAUAUUAAGCUUUUUGAGACAUUGCCAGACUGUUUUUCACAGUGGCUUCACCGUUGUAUAUUACUAUCGCCAAUUUACAGGGGUUUCAGUUUCCCUAUAUCCUCACCAAUGCUUGUUAUUUCUUGUUAAAAGUACAUUUUUUGGUUAGAUUUCUUAGGAUUUUUUUACAUAAACAGUCAUAUGUGAACAGAGACAGUUUUACCUACUUUUGAUCUGUUUUUUUUCUCUCACCUUUUUAUACUAGAUUUCUACAUUAUAAGUAUAAAUAAUGAGAGCAGGCAUUCUUACUGUGUUCCCAAACCUAGGGAGAAGGUAUUUGUUACUUCACUCUUAAAUCUGUUGUUAGCUAUAGGACUUUGAUAGAUACCCAUAUCUGGUUGAGGAAGUUACUUUACUGAGUGGCUUUAUUAUCUGUUUUUAAUCAUUAAUAGUAUUUGAUUUUGUCACUGACUGUUCUGCAUUAUUGCUAUGAUCAUUUAAUUUUUUCCCUUUUAAGCUAUUACUGUGAAUUACAUUAAAUAUUUUUCAUGUUAACUCAAUCCUACAUUUUUAGGUAAACUCCACUUUGUUAGGAUGUAUUACUGUUUUUAUAUAUCACUGGAUUUGAUUUAGUAAAGUUUUGUCAAAGCUGAAAGUGUCCUCUUUUCCUGUUUUGUAUAACACUGGCCUGUCUUUGUAUACCAGACUUACAGUUUAUAUAAGGCUUGACAUAUGGUUUUCUUAAAUAUUUGAUGGAGUUCACUAGUGAAAAUUUUCUUGAAGGAAGGUUUUGGGUUUGUGAAUUCAAUUUUUUCCCUUGGCAGUAUUGUCAUUUUUCAUUUUUCACAGUACUUUUCUGUUUCAUUUAUUUUGUUGAAUACCUUAGCACAAAGUUGUUCAUAAGAUGUUCCUACUGUUUUUUAAUGCCUGUAGGAUCAGUGGUGAUAUUAACUCUUUGAAUGUUAAGAUGCUACAUUUUCAUAUCAUUUAGUUUAAAAAUAUAAUCUUAUUUUCUUAUUUUUCAUGGAUUUCUUCUUUGACCAGUGGGUUAUUUAUAAGUGUGUUGCUUAAUGUCCAGAUAUUUUGGAUUUUCUUGAUAUCUUUGUAUUAAUAAUUUCUAACUUAAAUUUGUAGUCAUAGGAUAAACUAUCAUAUCAGUUCUUCAAAACUUACAAAGACAUGCUUAUGGGCAGUGUUUAUUCUGCAGUUUUAGGUUAUGGGAUUUUGUAAAUGCCGCCCAUUAAGUCAUGUUAGAUAAUAAUGUUUGAAUCUUUUUUAUUCUUCUUGAGAUUUUUUUGUUUUCGUUUCAUGUAGUAAUUGCUACUUACAUGGUUAAUCCAUAUUUCUCUUAUGUAUCUGGUUAUUGGAUUUGAUAUUUUUCUCUCAAAAUAAUAGUUUUAUUCUUCAUUUCGUUUUCUUGGGUUAUACUAAUGAGAGAUACUUGUUAUUUUACAGUGAUUAAAAAAUAUAUAUAAAUUAAUGUAAUAAUCUGCACACCCAUAUGUCACCUCGGUUUUUUACUUCUUUUUCUUCCCUGUUGUAUUUUUUGUUUGGAUACUAAAGAAGACUGUAGUUUACUAAAGAAGACUGUAGUUUAUUGUAUACUGUGGGAUUCUUAUAAUAGCAUGUGUGUAUAUAGCCCUGUGUUGGAUAGCAUUGCCAGGGAAAACUUGGUUUUGUUUGGUUGAAGUCUGGUGUAAUAAAAACAAAUUUCUGUCAUUAACUGUAGUAUGAAAUUUUGAUCUAUAAUAGUUUUAAUCUAAAUCAUCUAUACAGUAGACAAGUUUGAAAAAUAUUCAGAAGGUUUGAAAAAUGGUUAUUUAAUAUAUGGUCUCAACAGUAAAAUAAGUUAAAAAAAUCCUGUUGUUGUCUACUAUGAAAUUGGAUAGGCAAUUUGGCUUUUGAAAAGUUUUAAAUCUUUAAAUAUAUUGCUUAUUUAAGUCUUCUCUGCAUUGGGACCUUUAGUAAUAGGAAAAUCAAUGUAGGUCUCCACUCCGUUUUUGAGACAGCUGGUAAGAGUAGAACUUAAAUUUUGAUGUCGAGCGCGUUAAAAUCCUACUUCUUAUUAUAAACUCUUCCCAUUGUGAAUUUAGUAAUAUUCUGAUUAUAUUCUCUGUAUUUUCUUAGACAUCCAUUUCUAAUGUUCUUUUAAAAGGCUUCCUGAAAUUUAUUGGUGUAAUGGUCCUUUCUCUCUCUCUUAAUUUUAGAUUUUAUUUACUUGACAGAGAGAGAGAGAGUGCGUGUGCAAGAGAGCACUAGCAGGGGGAGUGGGAGAGGGAGAAGCAGGCCCCCCCCCUCCCCCGCUGAGCAGGGAGCCUGAGGCAGGGCUGGAUCCCAGGAUCCUGGGAUUAUGACCUGAGUCAGAGGCAGACACUUAACCAACUGAGCUACCAAGACGCCCCUCCUCUUUCUUUCUCUGUCUCUUUCUCAAUAUUAUGUAAGAUUUGCAUUCCUAGAACACAAUUCUAUUUGAUGAUGGGUAAUUCUUUUCAUUUUGCCACUUUUCCUCUUACUCAUUUAUGUAAUUAUUGCUAGGCAAAUAUCUGAAAAGAUGUCUUAACACAGAUUUGAAAGUUUUGUUAACUGGGACAUCUGGGUGGUUUAGCAGUUGAACCUUUGGCUCAGGAUGUGAUCCCGGGAUUCAGGAUUGAAUCCCGCAUCAG